UACAGAGGGUGCAAGCGUUAAUCGGAAUUACUGGGCGUAAAGCGUGCGUAGACGGUUAUGUAAGUCGGGUGUGAAAGCCCCGGGCUUAACCUGGGGAAUGGCAUUCGGGACUGCAAGGCUGGAGUGCGGCAGAGGGAGACUGGAAUUCCUGGUGUAGCAGUGAAAUGCGUAGAUAUCAGGAGGAACACCGAUGGCGAAGGCAGGUCUCUGGGCUGACACUGACGCUCAUGCACGAAAGCGUGGGGAGCAAACAGG
rnacentral:rRNA from 1 species